AGAGUUUGAUCCUGGCUCAGGACGAACGCUGGCGGCGUGCCUAAUACAUGCAAGUCGAACGAAGCUUUCUUUCACCGAAUGCUUGCAUUCACCGAAAGAAGCUUAGUGGCGAACGGGUGAGUAACACGUAGGCAACCUGCCCAAAAGAGGGGGAUAACACUUGGAAACAGGUGCUAAUACCGCAUAACCAUGAACACCGCAUGAUGUUCGUGUAAAAGACGGCUUUUGCUGUCACUUUUGGAUGGGCCUGCGGCGUAUUAACUUGUUGGUGGGGUAACGGCCUACCAAGGUGAUGAUACGUAGCCGAACUGAGAGGUUGAUCGGCCACAUUGGGACUGAGACACGGCCCAAACUCCUACGGGAGGCAGCAGUAGGGAAUCUUCCACAAUGGACGAAAGUCUGAUGGAGCAACGCCGCGUGAAUGAAGAAGGCCUUCGGGUCGUAAAAUUCUGUUGUCAGAGAAGAAUGUGCGUGAGAGUAACUGUUCACAUAUUGACGGUAUCUGACCAGAAAGCCACGGCUAACUACGUGCCAGCAGCCGCGGUAAUACGUAGGUGGCAAGCGUUGUCCGGAUUUAUUGGGCGUAAAGGGAACGCAGGCGGUCUUUUAAGUCUGAUGUGAAAGCCUUCGGCUUAACCGAAGUAGUGCAUUGGAAACUGGAAGACUUGAGUGCAGAAGAGGAGAGUGGAACUCCAUGUGUAGCGGUGAAAUGCGUAGAUAUAUGGAAGAACACCAGUGGCGAAAGCGGCUCUCUGGUCUGUAGCUGACGCUGAGGUUCGAAAGCGUGGGUAGCAAACAGGAUUAGAUACCCUGGUAGUCCACGCCGUAAACGAUGAGUGCUAAGUGUUGGAGGGUUUCCGCCCUUCAGUGCUGCAGCUAACGCAUUAAGCACUCCGCCUGGGGAGUACGGUCGCAAGACUGAAACUCAAAGGAAUUGACGGGGGCCCGCACAAGCGGUGGAGCAUGUGGUUUAAUUCGAAGCAACGCGAAGAACCUUACCAGGUCUUGACAUCUUCUGACAAUUCCAGAGAUGGAACGUUCCCUUCGGGGACAGAAUGACAGGUGGUGCAUGGUUGUCGUCAGCUCGUGUCGUGAGAUGUUGGGUUAAGUCCCGCAACGAGCGCAACCCUUAUUGUCAGUUGCCAUCAUUAAGUUGGGCACUCUGGCGAGACUGCCGGUGACAAACCGGAGGAAGGUGGGGAUGACGUCAAAUCAUCAUGCCCCUUAUGACCUGGGCUACACACGUGCUACAAUGGACGGUACAACGAGUCGCUAACUCGCGAGGGCAAGCUAAUCUCUUAAAGCCGUUCUCAGUUCGGAUUGCAGGCUGCAACUCGCCUGCAUGAAGUCGGAAUCGCUAGUAAUCGCGAAUCAGCAUGUCGCGGUGAAUACGUUCCCGGGCCUUGUACACACCGCCCGUCACACCAUGAGAGUUUGUAACACCCAAAGUCGGUGGGGUAACCUUUUGGAGCCAGCCGCCUAAGGUGGGACAGAUGAUUGGGGUGAAGUCGUAACAAGGUA
rnacentral:rRNA from 1 species